AUUGAACGCUGGCGGCAGGCCUAACACAUGCAAGUCGAGCGGAUGAAGGGAGCUUGCUCCUGGAUUCAGCGGCGGACGGGUGAGUAAUGCCUAGGAAUCUGCCUGAUAGUGGGGGAUAACGUCCGGAAACGGGCGCUAAUACCGCAUACGUCCUGAGGGAGAAAGUGGGGGAUCUUCGGACCUCACGCUAUCAGAUGAGCCUAGGUCGGAUUAGCUAGUUGAUGGGGUAAAGGCCUACCAAGGCGACGAUCCGUAACUGGUCUGAGAGGAUGAUCAGUCACACUGGAACUGAGACACGGUCCAGACUCCUACGGGAGGCAGCAGUGGGGAAUAUUGGACAAUGGGCGAAAGCCUGAUCCAGCCAUGCCGCGUGUGUGAAGAAGGUCUUCGGAUUGUAAAGCACUUUAAGUUGGGAGGAAGGGCAGUAAGUUAAUACCUUGCUGUUUUGACGUUACCAACAGAAUAAGCACCGGCUAACUUCGUG
rnacentral:rRNA from 1 species